rnacentral:rRNA from 1 species
GAUGAACGCUGGCGGCGUGCCUAAUACAUGCAAGUCGAGCGAACGGACGAGAAGCUUGCUUCUCUGAUGUUAGCGGCGGACGGGUGAGUAACACGUGGAUAACCUACCUAUAAGACUGGGAUAACUGCGGGAAACCGGAGCUAAUACCGGAUAAUAUUUUGAACCGCAUGGUUCAAAAGUGAAAGACGGUCUUGCUGUCACUUAUAGAUGGAUCCGCGCGGCAUUAGCUAGUUGGUAAGGUAACGGCUUACCAAGGCAACGAUGCAUAGCCGACCUGAGAGGGUGAUCGGCCACACUGGAACUGAGACACGGUCCAGACUCCUACGGGAGGCAGCAGUAGGGAAUCUUCCGCAAUGGGCGAAAGCCUGACGGAGCAACGCCGCGUGAGUGAUGAAGGUCUUCGGAUCGUAAAACUCUGUUAUUAGGGAAGAACAUAUGUGUAAGUAACUGUGCACAUCUUGACGGUACCUAAUCAGAAAGCCACGGCUAACUACGUG